GGACUCUGUUUUCUCUUGAGUUUAUAUAAAUCUUUUGCCUUUCACUAAAGAUUUCUGUGGAGAAGAACAUUUAUGAGUUUGUACCCAAUUUUUUGAGGCUUUACUUUGGCGAGGUU
rnacentral:snRNA from 1 species